rnacentral:lncRNA from 1 species
UUACCAUUCAGUGAUAACAAGCACUUUAUUUAACAUUUUAAUAUUUUAUGAUGUAUUUAAAAGAGUAGUUAUUGUUGCAAACUCCAUUAGAAAUUUGAAUUGAUAUCAGUUUUGGAAAAAGGGAAACGGGGAUGUGAAAAAAAGGGGGGGGUUAAAUUUUUCUCAUUUCAGAUUUCAUAAAUAAAAAGAAAAUUUCUUCAAACAUUUUUUUGAGAGGAUUAAUAUUCAACAGCAUAGUGAAUUGCUAAAAGGCAAAAACAAACUUUUAAGUUCAUUAGACCACAUUCAUUCUGUGUCAGAAACCUAUGCUAUGUCAACUAUUUAAUUUUAGAUUUAAAAAGUUUGAAGAAGAAAUCUUUAAUUGUAAAAUUUGUAAAAUCUUGACAUUUGUUUUGUGUAAAAAAAACCCCAUG